UAAAGAUUCAUCGGCUGCGGAUGGCCAUGCGGCGCAUUAGCUAGUCGGCGGGGUAACGGCCCACCGAGGCGACGAUGCGUAGGGGUUCUGAGAGGAAGGUCCCCCACACUGGUACUGAGACACGGACCAGACUCCUACGGGAGGCAGCAGUGAGGAAUAUUGGUCAAUGGCCGGGAGGCUGAACCAGCCAAGUCGCGUGAGGGAAGACGGCCCUACGGGUUGUAAACCUCUUUUGUCAGGGAGCAAGAGGCGGGUCGAGACCUGCUGUGAGAGUACCUGAAGAAAAAGCAUCGGCUAACUCCGUGCCAGCAGCCGCGGUAAUACGGAGGAUGCGAGCGUUAUCCGGAUUUAUUGGGUUUAAAGGGUGCGCAGGCGGAGGCACAAGUCAGCGGUAAAAUCGCGGGGCUCAACCCCGCUCCGCCGUUGAAACUGUGUCCCUUGAGUGCGCGAAGGGUAGGCGGAAUGCGUGGUGUAGCGGUGAAAUGCAUAGAUAUCACGCAGAACUCCGAUCGCGAAGGCAGCCUACCGGCGCGCAACUGACGCUCAUGCACGAAAGCGUGGGUAUCGAACAGGAUUAGAUACCCUGGUAGUCCACGCAGUAAACGAUGAAUGCUAUCUGUCCGGCCGGAAUGACGGCUGGGUGGC
rnacentral:rRNA from 1 species